CCUUUCUUGGCAUCUGCGGUUGUGGAGCAUACGGGGGAGAACUGUGAGUAGGCGGGGUUGGUCAUUAUGGGCCGAGAGGGGCACUACCACUACACUGCAUCAUUCGGUGCUUGUUCCUUUUUUCCUUGUCCGGUGCGGCACCACGCUGACGGCUGCCUCUCCGCCCUCACGUCUGUCUCUCAGUCCUUUUCUUCUUCCCACACCCACUUUGUGCGGUCCCUGGUUGUUUGCUGCAGUACUGUGAGUCUGCCUGCAUAGGUGAGCUCGAUUCCACAUUUCCGCCCUGCAGUAGCGUGACGCUCGUGAUCCUCCUCCCUAAAUGCGCAGCAUCAUCCUGGCGCGUGCGCGGAGACGUAUCGCACCGCUGCUUGCCCGGGGGUUAUCCUUCUCAACUCCCUUGUGUGUCGGUCAACGCCAGUGUCGCUGCUCUCACACAGGACGUCGUGCCGACGUCCCGCCUCCCUUGGCCGCGGCGGCAUUGCGUCGGCGCCUUAGCUCCACCAGCGGGCACCCGUCUAUUGGUGGUCCACGCAGUGCCUCGGCUAUGGAUGCCUCUGGCAUCGCUGCCUCGUGGACAGACCUGCUCGCUCAAAGCCCGUCCUCGCCAGGCAGCAGCUCGCGCGUAGCGCUUAGCGAAGUCGCUGCCCUCUGUCUAGCGGUGGAGGCACCAAAGUGCUAUGCCGUGUACCGGCCAAGCAAUUCGGGCAGCGGUGUCCACCGCUACACCUCGCCAGCGCCUGCGCUCGCAACCCCACAACACUUUCUGCAGCUUCUUGCCCGCUUGCGUGAAGCACUCGGCGCGUCUGCGGAAGCCGCGCGCAUUGCUGAGGUACUGGUGGACCUGCUCAACAAACCUCCUCACCCACACGAGCCCGGGCCAUGGGACCUUACUCAGAACGAGGUGCUCACCGUCAAAGCCACUGCUAUCCAGCAUGUAAUGGACAGCAUGCAGGGGGGCAGCGAUGCACUAGCGUGGCUAACGCGCCUCCUCCGGCUGACAGACACAUGUGCGGGAGAGGGAGAGGUAACGGAGUCGGAGGUGCCGCUGUUGUCGACAGCGCUCUCGGAGCGCUACGGCUUGCACGGAGGGUCGCCUAUCCGCCGGGUCCACUGCGGCGACGCUGACGGGGAGUGGCUCCUCACAUGCUCUCCGGUGGUACUCGCGGCGAUUGCAGCUGCGAUGCUACGCAGUACAACGAAGGGGAUGAAAGCGCACGCGCUGGAACUUUUGGAGGCUGCCGCCCUCACGCGCCUUUCGCGGACCUCCCUCUCAUCUGGCAAGGCGGUCGCGGGCUCCUACUACCGCAGUGACAUGCAACGCGGAGCACCAAAGGCGUUGUUUGAUGAAACGGUCGCGGUGCGUUGUGCCGAAGCUGCCGCCGUGCAAGGGGACGCAGAGACUGUGACGCGUCUCAUCUUUCUCCUGUACCGCGCACGUGGUGCGCUGGGAUUCGCCACGUUGGCCGAGCACCGACAGCGACGGCGCAGCGGCCGCGGCAAUGAGGGCACGUGGCGAAGGACAAGCAGUGGUCUUCUACCUCGCACCUCGUCUUGGUUCAGCGCGCGGUGGUGGUGCAGGGACGACGGCGCCAUGGCGAAGAGGCCUGCGUUCGUGGAAGAAGAUGCCGCAGACAUGCGUUUUGAGCUGGCCGUGGUGCGCCUGCUGAAGAGCGCCAUGCAGGCUCUCCUGUACCAUCCCCAGCGCAUGAGCGACUCCGUCGUCUACACGGUGGAAGAGGCGCUCUCGUUGUGGGAUGGAUUGAGUGGUGCCAUCACCUGGCCUGGUAUCGCUGCAAUUGGCGCAGAGCUGCUGCGCUACUUCGCCGACCAGCACGCACGGUUGUCUGUAGCGGCAGACGCAGGUGACGGCUGCGCCGCCUCGGACGAUGUGCACGUCCGGCGGGCGGCGCUGCGAGUGUACGGCCACCUCUGCCGUGCCGCACCGGUGCGUCAGCGCACGGCAGCCCAGCGUGACGAGCUGAACCACUUCACUUCGCUGAUGCUGCGCAUAUUCUCCACCGAGCUUGCUGUGAUCGGGAGUGCUGGUAUGCUAGUCCCAGUGGUCGCGAGCACCACCGCGGCGGAGCGGAUUUUGAGGCUCUUCGCCAACCUCUCAGGGCCUCGGGCACAAGAGGUCGCGCUGCCCUACGCGCUCGCUGCCUCCCUCGUCAUCUUCGCGGCGGCCGCAACGCAGAAAGGCUAUAGCGUCCCGCCGUCUCUCCUUGCCCCCCUCGCCGCGUACUUUUCUGAGACCCAGUCGCUGCACUACUACUGCGUGGCUGCGACAUCGGCAGAGGUGCCGGCACACGUUGCGGUGAGUGGCAGCCUGGUGCUUCUCCACCUGUUGCUUUGGUCAAGCGUGCCGGAGGGUGAGUGGGCACGUGGCGACGGGGAGCUGUGGCCGCUGUUGCAGCGGAUGCAGAAGGUCAAAGAAAACGGUCUAGGUGCAGACACCGUUGCCGCCGCGCCAGCUACCGCAGCUGCGUACCGCGUCACGGCGUGGCUAAGGGUUUCUGGAGAUCAGCAGCGGUCACUUCUAUGGCUUUUGCUGCUCUCCGCUAAGCAGCGCGACACGCCGUGGUGCCGUGCGGUGGUGAACGCAUUUUCCAGCCCCGCCUCCUCCACAGUCGUCAACUACGCCGUCAGCUCUGUCUACGCUCAGCUGCCGCAGGCAGAGCUAAAGAGCGUAGUGGAGCUUCUCUACGCGUGCGGCAACAACGACAACCCGGCACAGGCCAGUCAGACGCUAGAUCGUGUUGUGAGCGCGUCCUUGCAACUCCCAAUUCGUGCCCUCACCUUGGAAACCCUUGAAGCGCAGCUGCAGAGAUUCUCCGCAGGACCCCAAGCCACCUCAGUGCUGGUGUUGGGAGCUGCUUCCAUACGGGCACUCGCCGAACGCUGCGCCACAACUUCAAAGAAAGAUGCUGAUGACGAGUUGACCGUGGAGGUUUUUCUGCGUGUGUUGCAGCCGUUGCUUUUUGGUCCAACAGCGGCGCUUCCUUUGCGCUUUACGGUGGUGGUGCUCACUCCGGCCUCUCUUGUAGAGCUGCAGCGCAUGUACACAGGUGCGGACGACGCCCCGCGGCACGCCUCCGCAUUCGUGCGUGCCCUGCACGACGCCCUCGUGAGCAGGGCGACGCCUAGCGCCUACCAAGUUCGCGCAGCAUCCUCCUGGCCUCUCCUUCCGUCCUUAGCGCUUGCUCUUCGAAAGCAGAAGGAGUUGCAGAGUGUGGACGGGCUGCGAGAGGCUACAGCAGCGGCGCGGCAUUUGGAGCACACGCUCCCAAAGGAGUCGCGACCGCUGGUGUGCCUGUGGGUCGAAAGGGAGGCACUCUUUGACACGCCCCACGCCCUUUCCGCCAAGGCUGAAGUGCUGCGCCACUAUGGCGUGCGUGAAGUCAGCACCCACCGUGCUCAUGUGGAGAAAGCAAAGCGGGACAUCUUCUCGCUCGUGCGCAGCGGCGCGGCAGGCACGGUGCACCCCACUGGUGCGCAGGUGACCGGAGAAGCUGCCCUCAUCGAAGCGAAGGCGGCUCGUCGGACGCGCCACCACUCGCUCCUGAGUGCCGUCGCGGAGAGGAGCAGACGCCAGCGCAGUGCGUAAACGUUUGUGUUCGCUCGUAGUGCCCCGCUAUGCUGGCACCUAUCAGUCCCCGCCGUCCUCUUUUUUGUUGUUCGCUGUUACUGUUGUAGCUGCCUUUGGUUCUCCGCGAAGUGAAUCUGGAGAGCCCUCUGCGACUUUCCCUUUGGCAAGUGUUAAACUUGAUGAACUGCGCCGCCGCCCGCGG
rnacentral:misc_RNA from 1 species